UGAACGCUGGCGGUAGGCCUACCACAUGCAAGUCGAACGGCAGCACAGUAAGAGCUUGCUCUUACGGGUGGCGAGUGGCGGACGGGUGAGGAAUACAUCGGAAUCUACUUUUUCGUGGGGGAUAACGUAGGGAAACUUACGCUAAUACCGCAUACGACCUACGGGUGAAAGCAGGGGAUCUUCGGACCUUGCGCGAUUGAAUGAGCCGAUGUCGGAUUAGCUAGUUGGCGGGGUAAAGGCCCACCAAGGCGACGAUCCGUAGCUGGUCUGAGAGGAUGAUCAGCCACACUGGAACUGAGACACGGUCCAGACUCCUACGGGAGGCAGCAGUGGGGAAUAUUGGACAAUGGGCGCAAGCCUGAUCCAGCCAUACCGCGUGGGUGAAGAAGGCCUUCGGGUUGUAAAGCCCUUUUGUUGGGAAAGAAAAGCAGCAGGUUAAUACCCCGCUGUUCUGACGGUACCCAAAGAAUAAGCACCGGCUAACUUCGUG
rnacentral:rRNA from 1 species